rnacentral:misc_RNA from 1 species
GUAGGUGAACCUGCGGAAGGAUCAUUAUUGAAUGAACAUGGAGUUGGUUGUUGCUGGCCCCUUUAUCGGGGCAUGUGCACGCCUUCUCUAUUCAUCCACACACACCUGUGAACUUGUGAGACGGAUAGUAGUCCUCUAGGGGGCGAGGUCCGUCUGCUAUACAUAAACUCUAUUAUAUAAAUUUGAAUGUCAUUUGAUGUAACACAUCUAUAAACUAAGUUUCAACAACGGAUCUCUUGGCUCUC